UUGGGGGACUUCAAUGAAAUUUUAAUUUCUUCGGAAAAAAAGAGGGUUAAUGUGAGGCCUAAUGCAAUGAUGAGAUAUUUUUGCAAUUGUUUGGGAGAGCGAGGUCUGGAAGAUAUGGGCUGUAUUGGUGACAUUUUCACUUGGAGGAGAGGUGUGGUGAGGGAGAGACUUGAUCGUGCGGGUUGUAAUGUGGAGUGGGUAAGUAAAUUACCCCGGGCUGCAAUCAUAAAGGAAUAACGUGUGCGUUCUGAUCAUCGUCGUAAUAUUAUGAUGGUAAUAUGUUCAACCAACCAAGGAGCCGAGUAA
rnacentral:rRNA from 1 species